rnacentral:misc_RNA from 1 species
UUUUUCUCAACAACGUGAAAUUGCAACCAUGAGGUGUUAAAUUUGUCCUCACUUUCUUUCUGAAAUUUGCAUUUAAACCUCUUAAUUUUCAACAAAACGUUAAUAUUUUGUCGAAAAAAUGUCAUAGACUAUCUUUCAAACUCAUAUUUUGAUCGGACUUUUCAUUAUUUAGAGUGUAAGCUCCUGCAAUUAGGAAAAGGGGGGAUGAAUUGCAGUACAUACAAUGUAUACAUAUUUGGUACAAGUUUCAUUUGCAUAUUUUGUUACUGAGAUCUUUGGUAAAGAGCUCUGUCUCUUAAAUGUUCUUGAUGUACGAUUGCCCCUGUAAUAACAUACAGCUUACAGCCAUUUACAAAAGUAACAUUGAACUUCAUUGAAGUGUGAUGUUUGAAUUUAAUUUGUGUUUAUACAAAAACUAUGAAUUGGGAAAGCUAAAACGGUCGGUUUAGAUGAAAUCACUGUCAAAAAUUUUUGGUUUGAAAAUUCUUAUACUGACUACCGUAAAUUAGAUAAGUCCAUAUUCUAAUAUUUUUAUUAGUUUGGAUAAUCACUUAUUCUAAUGUUUUUAUUUUUACAGUACCCUCAGGUUGCAAAAACGGCUGGCCUCCGCCGUGUUGAAGUGUGGCAAAAACAAAGUUUGGCUUGAUCCCAAUGAAACAAAUGAAAUAGCCAAUGCCAACUCAAGUAAGUUGACAGACAUAACAAUAUACUAUUCGAAGAUAUUAAUUUACAACUGUUUCCAGUCUGUUCAUUGGAAAAUGAUGAAAAUUUUCUCUUUGUAGGACAAAAUAUUCGUAAAUUAAUUAAGGAUGGUUUGAUCAUCCGUAAACCUGUUGCUGUGCACUCACGGGCCAGAGUUCGCAAGAACGCUAUUGCCAGGAGAAAGGGUCGCCACAUGGGUCAUGGAAAGAGGAAGGGUACAGCCAACGCACGUAUGCCAGUCAAGGUCUUAUGGAUGCGCAGAAUGAGAGUGUUGCGUCGUCUUCUUAAGCGCUACAGAGAAGCCAAGAAAAUCGACAAGCACUUGUAAGCAUACACCUCAAUGCAACUUAUAAUAACCUUUAAUUUUGCAUAAAUGUUGAAUGACUUGUAGUUAAUUACCAUUAUUGGAGAUGGAAAGAUUAUAUAGAUUUUUAAAAGGCAGUUUAGAGGACCAUUUUGCACUAUUUAUGUAUUCAGUUUUUAGGAGAUAUUUGAUAAAAAAAAUAUGCUAUAUAUGACUUGGCAUGCAAUAAGACCAUAUUCAUCGAAUGAGUUUACAAUAAUCAAUGUACUGUUUUUAGAAUUUUUUAUUAUUGAAACAUAUUUUAGUUAAAAAUUUUGAUGUUAAUUUCAUUUUGUAGAUACCAUGAACUGUACAUGAAGAGCAAAGGUAACGGAUUCAAGAACAAGAGAGUCUUGAUGGAGCACAUCCACAAGAGGAAGGCAGAGAAAGCCAGAUCUAAACAACUCAGGUACGUGGAAACAGCCAACAUACUUCACUCCCAACUACACUUUUAUUACAUAACAUUAAGGAUUUUCACCCCUAUAUUAUAAAUUUUUUCUAAUUGUAAAGUACUUAUAAUUUUUUUUUAUCUAAAACUAAGGUGUACUUUAUUGAGAUGAUACCAUGCCUUUUAAGAUGAUACUGUGCCUUUCAAAACAUUUCAACAAUGAAUUGGAGAAAAUAUAUAUGUUAUCCAACUUCUCUUAGUGCCCUUUACUGGGCAUUUUUUGCACUCGUUUUAUUUCAACACCUGUACGAAUUAACACCUGUCUGUUUCAGUGACCAGGCCGAGUCCAGGAGACAGAGGGUUCGCGAGGCACGUAAGCGCAGGGAGGAGCGCAUCAAGCAAAAGAAGGAGGAGAUGCUUAAGUCAUUCUCGGAGAAGGAACCCCCCGCAUCAAGUUCCUAAAGACUUCUGUGAACACAUAGAUACUAUUGUUAUCAGCACAAUAAACCUGUGUGAC